GUGACUGAAGUAGGGAGAAAAGGGGCCUGUCACCUCUGGGGGAGGAGGCCUCACACAUGCAACCCACAUUCCUCCUCCUGGGCCCCCAGCCCCAAGGCUUCCACAUCCUGUUCCUAACAGCUGCGACUUCCUGAGGUUUAGCCCAGGAAGGAGGAGUGAAGAGCUCUAGAAAUUAGUCUGUCUUCCUCCAGAGUGUGAAGGGAGGAAGGCAGAGUCGGGCAAGGGUUGGAGGGCUGGAUCUUUGACCAAAGUCAAGGCAGGAAGUGUUGGGAAGAGCAGCCCCACAUAAGCCUUGCACCCUUUCACUCAGCAGGGCCUGGUGCUGACUGGUGGAUCCAUCAGCUGCAGAAUUGGAAGCGUGGAUGGGCAAGAGAGGAUCUCAGCUCCUGGGUGUCAUAAGUGGGUCUAGCAAUGUAAUAGAUGCCGGGGAAGGCAGGGUUUUAUGCUGCAGUAGGGGAAGCUUAAAUGACCAUAAUGCAAGAUGGGCUACAACUCUCAGAGAAGCACCUGGAGGGGUUGGAAGAGGAAGCAAGCCCAGCCUGAAGGGCACAUUAGAUACGUAUAAGAAGAAAAUGGCUUACAGUUUCCUGGCCCAGAUUAUCCUCAUUGUCAUAAAUAAAUAAAUGUAAUGCACGUACCUUGGCUGGAAAAUUCACAUUGAAC